rnacentral:rRNA from 1 species
AAAUUGAAGAGUUUGAUCAUGGCUCAGAUUGAACGCUGGCGGCAGGCCUAACACAUGCAAGUCGAACGGUAACAGGAAGAAGCUUGCUUCUUUGCUGACGAGUGGCGGACGGGUGAGUAAUGUCUGGGAAACUGCCUGAUGGAGGGGGAUAACUACUGGAAACGGUAGCUAAUACCGCAUAACGUCGCAAGACCAAAGAGGGGGACCUUCGGGCCUCUUGCCAUCGGAUGUGCCCAGAUGGGAUUAGCUAGUAGGUGGGGUAACGGCUCACCUAGGCGACGAUCCCUAGCUGGUCUGAGAGGAUGACCAGCCACACUGGAACUGAGACACGGUCCAGACUCCUACGGGAGGCAGCAGUGGGGAAUAUUGCACAAUGGGCGCAAGCCUGAUGCAGCCAUGCCGCGUGUAUGAAGAAGGCCUUCGGGUUGUAAAGUACUUUCAGCGGGGAGGAAGGGAGUAAAGUUAAUACCUUUGCUCAUUGACGUUACCCGCAGAAGAAGCACCGGCUAACUCCGUGCCAGCAGCCGCGGUAAUACGGAGGGUGCAAGCGUUAAUCGGAAUUACUGGGCGUAAAGCGCACGCAGGCGGUUUGUUAAGUCAGAUGUGAAAUCCCCGGGCUCAACCUGGGAACUGCAUCUGAUACUGGCAAGCUUGAGUCUCGUAGAGGGGGGUAGAAUUCCAGGUGUAGCGGUGAAAUGCGUAGAGAUCUGGAGGAAUACCGGUGGCGAAGGCAGCCCCCUGGACGAAGACUGACGCUCAGGUGCGAAAGCGUGGGGAGCAAACAGGAUUAGAUACCCUGGUAGUCCACGCCGUAAACGAUGUCGACUUGGAGGUUGUGCCCUUGAGGCGUGGCUUCCGGAGCUAACGCGUUAAGUCGACCGCCCCUGGGGAGUACGGCCGCAAGGUUAAAACUCAAAUGAAUUGACGGGGGCCCGCACAAGCGGUGGAGCAUGUGGUUUAAUUCGAUGCAACGCGAAGAACCUUACCUGGUCUUGACAUCCACGGAAGUUUUCAGAGAUGAGAAUGUGCCUUCGGGAACCGUGAGACAGGUGCUGCAUGGCUGUCGUCAGCUCGUGUUGUGAAAUGUUGGGUUAAGUCCCGCAACGAGCGCAACCCUUAUCCUUUGUUGCCAGCGGUCCGGCCGGGAACUCAAAGGAGACUGCCAGUGAUAAACUGGAGGAAGGUGGGGAUGACGUCAAGUCAUCAUGGCCCUUACGACCAGGGCUACACACGUGCUACAAUGGCGCAUACAAAGAGAAGCGACCUCGCGAGAGCAAGCGGACCUCAUAAAGUGCGUCGUAGUCCGGAUUGGAGUCUGCAACUCGACUCCAUGAAGUCGGAAUCGCUAGUAAUCGUGGAUCAGAAUGCCACGGUGAAUACGUUCCCGGGCCUUGUACACACCGCCCGUCACACCAUGGGAGUGAGUUGCAAAAGAAGUAGGUAGCUUAACCUUCGGGAGGGCGCUUACCACUUUGUGAUUCAUGACUGGGGUGAAGUCGUAACAAGGUAACCGUAGGGGAACCUGCGGUUGGAUCACCUCCUUA